GGAACGUUGGAAGCACCAGUCCUCCCCCAGCUGCUCAGCAGGUUGGGUGUGGAGCAGCAAAGACAGAUGGCUGACGGAGCUGAAACCCGGGAGUCUGCAGGAUGAAUGUGGUGGAGGGCCAAGAGGAAGCACUGUGACCCUAUCAGCCAAGUGCGGAUCUGCCAGCUUUAGCCUGCCGAGAGACCUCAAAAAUUAACUACAAGGACAGAAGUGGGAUGAGUCAAGGACAAGUUGUUUCCUGGACCAGAAGCUCCACCAAGGCGAGACCUGGCUUCCUCGUCUGCAAGGGGUCUGCCCUGCUCUGUCUACUCUGCAGGACUGCUGUGUUGAUCAGAGGGGAUCCUGCACUUGAAGAUGCCUUGGAACUGCCAAGUGAUGUGAAAUGCCAUGAAGGGGCAUUUACCAGGUGAGCUGAAGACAGAGCCAGUCAGUGCAAGUCCCACAUGGCUCCCCUUCUCCACAUGGAGCCGGUGCUCUUGGCCUGAUCACUCCGACCAGCUCUCCCCAAGAUGGGGAGGCGUCUGCUCUAGAGCUAAACCCAUGCAGGGGUCCAAGUGAUGCUUGGCAGGGGCUUCUCCAACAAGCACACAAAGGGCUUGGCACCCGGCUCUCUGGGCUC